CUGCCGUGGCAUCCGCUGUCCCCCCCACUGGCGAUGUAGGAGGAGAAGACUUGAAGGUGGUCAACCUCACUGAGGACGACCUAGAACCGAUCCCUGACGGAGGCAUAACUCGACAGGCGUGGAAUUUUUGACUGCACACCUGUAGUUUGUAAGAAUAAGAACCGAACAGACUGCUAUAAAGUUAGCACUAGGGCGGGUACUUGUAUUAAUUUGGUGUCCUCUAACGGGAAACCAUUCGUAUCUGCCUCAUCGGCUGGCAGCUGUCAAUGUGUGGCCUACUCUAAAAGGGGAUGUCCCACCUGGAGCGGAGAUAGUUACGGUUUUACCGUUCCCACGACUUUCAGUUUCAAUGCGAAAAGCAUCCAGUGCUACAUCUAUUAAGUUUUUGGGAAAGGGUGGAUAAAUAUAUGUAAUGGUUUUUGUGUUUCCUUUGGUUUGCUACUUGCUUUCUUUCACUUGUAUUCUCAUUUCGGCCUCUUAUAUGUUUUCUGGGGUGUUUGGAUUUUUUUUUUUUUUUUUUGAAGGAUGCGCCUGAUUUCAAGCGACAGAGGUGUGCAUAAGAAAUGUACGGAGUGUAAUUAUACCCACAUGAGGAUAUGAAUGAUAUGCUGGAUAAAUGAUGUGUCGGGAGAUAUAUUCUUUCUCCCUUCAUCCACGACACUGCCUUUUUCCGCUCAACUAUUUUUGAACUUUCAAAAGAAGCGUGUUCGGCAUAUAUCUAUAAAUACAGGCGC
rnacentral:sRNA from 2 species